rnacentral:lncRNA from 1 species
GCCCUCUGUGAGUGGCUUCAUUCCACUCUGGGGUCUGCCGUCUUGGUUCCUAGGUUGCUAGGAAAGGACCACGAGGGGGCCCGCUGCAGAGAACGGAAGAGCAGCCAGGACCAGUCGGCUCCAUACACCAGCGAGUCGGGCAAUGUGUGAGAUGUCAGGACCGUCGCCUCCUGCCUCUCCUCUGGAGUGAGAGAUGGGAGAACCCAGGAAACACAACAUCACCCAGAGCCUCUCCCCAACCUGUCACACCUGACAGGGAGACUCCAAGAACAGCCCCUCACAGGUCAGCAAGUGUUUCCUGAGGAGCCGUUGUGUCAUGCAAAGGAACCAGCAAGACCUGGGCAUAUGUUGGAGAAGAAACAGACCGUCAUCUUGCAGUGCACACGCCUGUGUGCCUCCAAGAGAAGCAUCAAGCGGGGCUACAGAACCUCACUUGAUGGUGAAGAAUACGGCAAAAGCCAGAGAGGGGGAAAGACCUCAGUUAACACUUAAAACCAAAGAACAAAGGAGUUUUAGCCAGCUGGGAAGGAAGGGGAUGUCUGAGGAACAGGCAGCAUGUGUACAGCAGAGGUGAGAAAGUCCAAGGCUCGCACGGGGAACCACAAACAGGCAGCCAUGGCACUGUCAGUGAGUGACAGUGGGCUGGAGCGUCCCAAGCAUGCAGGGUCCGGCACGCCCUGUUUCAGAGUCUGGAUUCUGGCUUGGAAAGGAGCCACUGACAAGGUUAAGUGAGCAGUUUCUUUAUAGAAGUUGCUACGGCAACUGGAAAGAGGCCACAACUGCCUCCCAGAGCACACAGCAACAGAGGGAAUGACGAGGCGUGGCCAAACCCGAGGCGAUCUGGAGUCCAGGAGGCAAGGCCAGGGCUGGCAGGGGCAGUUGCAGAGAGCAAGUGGAAGGUGAGCCAGGGGCUGCAAGGCUGGGUGGCCACUUGGGCUCUGAAAGGGCUGCCAUCGCUACCUCUGAAGUACAGGGAUUGAUGCCAGCAGUGACCGGAAUCAGAACCAGAAUGAGUGCUGAUGGAAGAAGGGCUGAGGGCAGAACAGGACCGCACUGGAUUACAAAACGUGCCGAGGUUGUAUGGGCCUGGGCCGGGGAGGCCCAACCCUGGGCCCAGGGCUUCAACUGGGCAGAGGUGGCUCCGAGGAGGAGUGAGAUGCUGAAUGUUCAGAGACAGCCACAGGGGCCCUCGAGCAGCAUGUGUGGGGCGACCCUCGGGAGGAAGCCCCUGGGGAGGCCGUUACUGUCCCUUGGGAGGUAGCGUCACAGGGCAGGCAGGACCUCCGCUAGUCUUUCAUCCAGCAAUCGCUCAACACGUCCACUCGGGCCAGCAGGACCUCUUCUACAGCUUAGGAAAAGGUAAUAAGGCAGAGUCUAAGCCCUCAGAGAGCCACAGCCUGGGAAAAAGACAGCGAAUGAGUGGACGGAAGACACUGUUGCGACCCCAAGAAUGGGAGGCCCUUUCUGAUUAGCCACAGGCCAACGUUUCCUCCCUCUUUUUAUUUUCAAGACAGGACCUCACUCUGUCGCAUAGGCUGGAGUGCACUGACCUGGGCUCUGUCUUCCUGCCUCACCUCCUGAGUAGCUGCGACCAUCAUGCCCCCUAGUUUUUUCUAUUUUUUGUGGCCACGGAGUCUCACUAUGUUGUCCAGGCUAGUCUUGAACUCCCGGCUCAAGCAAUCCGCCCACCCUUCCCAGAGUGCUGUGACUGCGAGUGUCAGCCACCGCACCCAGACAAUACAAAUUGUUUUAAAAUUAGGCCGGGCGCGGUGGCUCACACCUGUAAUCCCAGCACUUUGGGAAGCCAAGGCGGGUGGAUCACAAGGUCAAGAGAUCGAGACCAUCCUGGUCAACAUGGUGAAACCCCGUGUCUAUUAAAAAUACAAAAACUAGCUGGGUGUGGUGGCAUGCACCUGUAGUACCAGCUACUCGGGAGGCUGAGGCAGCAUAAUUGCUUGAACGUGGGAGGUGGAGGUUGCAUGAGCCAAGAUCGUGCCACUGCACUCCAGCCUGGGUGAAAGAGCAAGACUCUGUCUCAAAAAAAAAAAAUUGUUUAAAUUAAAGAUACAGGCUGGGUGCAGUGGCUCACGCCUGUAAUUCCAGCACUUUGGGAGGCCGAGGCAGGUGGAUCACAUGAGGGCAGGAGUUUGAGAGCAGCCUGGGAAACAUGGUGAAACCCCAUCUCUACUAAAAGCACAAAAAUUAGCCAGGCAUGAUGGCGCAUGCCUGUAGUCCCAGCUACACAGGAGCCUGAGGCAGGAGAAUCCCCUGAACCUGUGAGGUGGAGGUUGCAGUAAGCUGAGAUCACCCCACUGCACUCCAGCCUGGGCGACAGAGCAAGACUCUGUCUCAAAAAAAUACAUAAAUAAAGUUAUGAAAAAGGCCAGCCGAGCACAGCGGCUCACGCCUGUAAUCCUAACACUUUGGGAGGCCGAGGCGGGUUGAUCACCUGAGGUCAGGAGUUCAAGACCAGCCUGACCAACAUGGUAAAACCUCGUCUCUACUAAAAAAUACAAAAAUUAGCCAGGCGUGGUGGCACACACCUGUAAUCCCAGCUACUCCGGAGGCUGCAGCAGGAGAGUUGCUUGAACCCGGAAGGUGGGAGUUGCAGUGAGCUGAGAUUGUGCCAUUGUAUUCCAGCCUGGGAGACAGAGCAAGACUCCGUCUCAAAAAAGAAAGAAAAAGAAAAAAAGGCCUAUACAGAGUACCUGACAAAACUGGCCUGGAAUGUUGAACUCUCAGACCUGUCUUAGUUCACCUCUUCAACUUUAAGAACUGAAGGCUGGAUGCAGUGGCUCAAGCCUGUAAUCCCGACACUGAGGACUGAGUUGAGGCAGGAGGACUGCUUGUGUCCAGGUGGUCCGGGCUGCAGUGAGCUCUGACUCCACCACUGCGCUCCCACCUGGGUGACAGGACACAAGACCCUCUCUUUAAAAAAAAAACUAAAAACUCACCAUAGCCAAAAGGUGAAAACAACCCAAAUGUCCAUCAGAGGAUGAACAGACAGAAUGUGGUCCAUCAUUACCUUCUUAAAAAGAGAAUUCUGACACAUGCUCCAACAGGGGUGAACCUUGAAAACGUUAAGCUAUGUAAAGAAGCCGGAUAUAAAAAGACACACGAUUCUACUUCCAUGAAAUAUCUAGAAAAGGCAAAUCCCCAUAGACAGAGUAAACGGAGGUUAUAGAGGCUGGGGGAGGGAUGUUUGGGGUGAUAGAAAAGUUUUGAAAAUAAGUAGCAGUGAUGAUUGCACAGUAUUUUGAAUGUCUUCUUUUAUUUUUUAUUUUUUUUGAGACGGAGUGUCACUGUCGCCAGGCUGGAGCGCAGUGGCGUGAUCUCGGCUCACUGCAACCUCCGCCUCCCAGGUUCAACCGAUUCUCCUGACUCAGCCUCCCAAGUAGCUGGGACUACAGGCGCCCGACCUCAGGUGAUCCGCCCGCCUCAGCCUCCCAAAGUGCUGGGAUUACAGGCGUGAGACACUGCGCCCGGCCUUGAAUGUCUUUAAUACCACUAAAUUGUGGGCGGCAAGCCACCCAGGCACCGAGGCAAGAGACCGAGGACAUGAGCUGUUCCAGUAAAAUAAAAUAUAAAACAAGAAUAGUUAUACCAGAUAUAGAUCUUAGAUAAUGAUUAUAUAUGAAUAUCAUUAAUCAUUAGUUGGUAGUAAUUACUCUUUAUCCCAAUAUUAUAAUAAUCCUCGCUCUACAAUCAUAACCUAGGAAAAACCAGGCCAUACAGAGAUAGGAGCUGAGGGGACAUAGUGAGGUGUGACCAGAAGACAAGAGUGCGAGCCUUCUGUUAUGCCUGGACAGGGCCACCAGAGGGCUCCUUGGUCUAGCGGUGACGCCAGCAUCUGGGAAGACGCCCGUUGCCAGGCGGACCAUGGUCUAGCGGUAGCGAAAAAUGUGAAGGAAAAACACCCGCUACUUAGCAGACCUGGAAAGGGAGUCUCCCUUUCCCCGGGGGAGUUUAGAGAAAACUCUGCUCCUCCACCUCUUGUGGAGGGCCUGACAUCAGUCAGACCUGCCCGCAGUUAUCCGGAGGCCUAACCGUCUCCCCGUGAUGCUGUGCUUCAGUGGUCACGCUCCUUGUCCGCCUUCAUGUUCCAUCCUGUACACCUGGCUCUGCCUUCUAGAUAGCAGUAGUCAAUUAGUGAAAGUACUAAAAGUCUCUGGUAUGCAGAAAUAAUAGCGUAAGCUGUCUUUCUCUCUCUCUCCUCUCCCUCUCUGCCUCGGCUGCCAAGCAGGGAAGGGCCCCCUGUCCAGUGGACACGUGACCCACGUGACCUUACCUAUCAUUGGAGAUGACUCACACUCUUUACCCUGCCCCUUUUGCUUUGUAUCCAAUAAAUAACAGUGCAGCCAAACAUUCGGGGCCACUACCGGUCUCUGCACAUUGGUGGUAGUGGUCCCCCGGGCCCAGCUGUCUUUUCUUUUAUCUCUGUCUUGUGUCUUUAUUUCUACACUCUCUCGUCGCCGCACACAGGGAGAAGCCCACUGACCCUGUGGGGCUGGUCCCUGCACUAAAUUGCACACUUAAAGUGGCUAAAAUCAUGCAUUUUAUGUUACAUAAAUUUUAUCACAAUUUUUACAAAAGCAGUUAAAAGGCAGGAGACCCAGUGUGUGCCCAACAGACAAUGCUGGAGUGUGUUUAAGAAACUCAAGCAAAGGAAAUGCAAGUCAAGGGAUUAAUGGGCAAGUUCUCCUUCAAUUAUCAAGGCUACAGAGAAAAGUAUCAAGUAUUCAGAAGUCUAGGAAACACCACCGAGGGCCUCUCCUAAGCGUCUCUCAGGAGGCAAGCUCUAUCCAAACAGGCGGUGGCUGGGAACAGCUGUCACCAGGAUGGAUGGGAGCACAACAAAUAGUCAAUUGCGAGCUGAGACUUAGGAAAAAACAGGUGGGGCAAGGACAGAAAAAUAAUAUGUUAAUGCUGUGUUCUGAGUAGGAAAAAAUGCCAUUAAGAAUGGGAAGAGAUGGCCAGGCGUGGUGGCUCAUACCUGUAAUCCCAGCACUUUGGGAGGCCGAGGCAGGCAGAUCACAAAGUCAGGAGAUCAAGACCAUCCUGGCUAACACGGCGAAACCCUGUCUCUAAUAAAAAUACAAAAAAUUGGCCAGGCAGGGUGGC